rnacentral:rRNA from 1 species
GACGAACGCUGGCGGCGUGCCUAAUACAUGCAAGUAGGACGCAGUUGCGAACGGGUGAGUAACGCGUAGGUAACUGCCUAUUAGAGGGGGAUAACUAUUGGAAACGAUAGCUCAUACCGCAUACUAGUAGAUGGACCUGCGUUGUCUGAGCUAGUAGGUAGGGUAAGGGCCUACCUAGGCGACGAUACAUAGCCUACCUUGGGGGGGUGUCGGCCACACGGGGACUGGGACACGGCCCCGACUCCCACGGGAGGCAGCAGUAGGGAAUCUUCGGCAAUGGGGGGAACCCUGACCAAGCAACGCCGCGUGAGUGAAGAAGGUUUUCGGAUCGUAAAGCUCUGUUGUUAAGGAAGCGGUACUUAACCAGAAAGGGACGGCUAACUACGUGCCAGCAGCCGCGGUAAUUC